AGCAGACCCCAAACAAGAGGAACUCUCCUCCUCUUUAACUUUAUUUCCUUGAUUAGCUCUAAAAAAAUAAUCACCCGGCUGGACUUGGGGGAAGUUUUUUAGGGGCUGUUUGAAAGCAGAGGGCUCCUCUCCUGCAGGUGCUGCGGGGAUGCGCCUCACCAUGGGCAGCUACAAAAAUCCCUGCAAAGUGGUCCCUGCUGGCAAAAAGAACCCUCAAGACAAAACCCAAGAACACUGCAUGUAUUGAAAGAAAUCUUGCUGGGUCAGUGUGACUGUUCCGGUCGGCUCUCCUUGUCCUCAUUCGAAAGCCCUGCACAGCCCCAGCCCUGCCAGCUCCCCACAGCCAACCCCAGCAGCUUCACCACGAGAUCAGCCACACAGACCAAAAUUAACGAAGCUCCCGAUCGCUGAUAACGCAUUUAGAGGCGCUUCUCUAGCUGCAAUUUCACGUACAGAGACGUCUGGGACAGCACUUAUAACUUUGGGCAUUCAGCUGCUGCUAAGGAAUCAUAGAAUACCCCAAGCUGGAAGGACCCGUAAGGAUCAUUGAGUCCAACUCCUGGCUGCAUACAGAACCACCCCAAAAUCAUGUAACUGAUGUUCAAGAGCUUUCAAAAACCCAACUAUGGCCACAUCCGCCUUCAGGUGUCUCCAUUCCCUUCACCAGAAUGAUUCCUGAGCCAACUUUUCAGCAACACCUGAGAUAUUUCGGGAUAUAGAUUGUGAGUCCUGAGUCCUGCAAUUGAUACCAAUGGGAAAGCCACCACCAGAGGCCAGAAGCCCAGAGGGCAUCCCUAGGUGCCAACCUUGCUCUUGGGCUUCUCUUACCCAUAGCAGCAGAGCCCAAAUUCAUACUGAACGGGAGCACAGGAGCCAUGCAGACACAUUGUUCUGAACCCCUUGGUCAGUUCUACAGAAGCUCCUCUCUAUCCAGGCUCCUCCAAAGCCACAGCACUCUGUGCGGUUUUAAGCGCUGUGAUUUUUUUCUGCUCUCAAAAUAAUUAGCACAUCAUCAGUUGUAAAUGAGCCUCAUCUCGAGUGAAAGAAUGGAGUUAUGUGGGUUAUUUUUAAAUAGCACAACAAUAUAUGCUAGAGCAAAAAA
rnacentral:lncRNA from 1 species